ensembl:lncRNA SNHG29 small nucleolar RNA host gene 29
CUGGCGCACAUAAGGUGUGACCUUUUCAUUCCCGUUGUUAUGGAGGUAGGCUCUCUAGGAAUCUGGGAGUAGUAGCUGGGGGGCAAGAGCAAAUAAAGAGCUCGAGCUUCUGUGGUCUCUGGGGAGAUGUUCCCGGGAAGCCUGUCUAGAGGGCGGAGGGCAGCUGUUGAGAUGGCGUGGCUCCCCGGCUCCUGCGCCCGCGUGGCUUUCGCGGCGGGCGCUGCGGCCCGGUAUUGGACAGCCUGGCAGGGCAGCGCGGGGCCGAAUCCGGCUGCCGUGGCUGAGGCUCAUGGAUCACUCUUUUGUGGUAGGGCCACAUCUGCCAGAGCCUGGAGUCUGCGAAGGCCGGGACCCGGUUCCCCGGCCCACAGUGGGGGUGUGCAAACCCGAGAGAACUGGGUAAGUUGGGGUCGGCUUGCAGUUUGGGGUACCCCGAGGGCGGUGUACGUCGGUAAGAUUGUAACAGUAUUACUGGAAGACUUAUUCGACUGUCCUGAUGAUACUUGUAAUAGGAAGUGCCGUCAGAAGCGAUAACUGACGACGUCUAAUGUCUAUCUGACCGCAGUCGCUGAAACCUCUACAACUUAGUUGACCGUAACUGCCAGAGCCCUGCCCUGAAUUCCUGUCCUUACUCCCUCUUUAAGAUUGCGUACCCACUGCAGAGUGCUGAAGACGGGGUAGCCACGAGGUGAGAGGCUCUCUGGUGUAGGGUUUAACAUGGAACGUAGUUUUGUCACUUGAAUGCACGGAAAUUGGCGUUUUGACAGUUUUCUACGUUUAGGUGUUUUAUACACUUUAGGGUAACGUUAUCAUGUCAUUGCAUAGGGUGGAACUUAAAUAGAAACUGGAGAUGGCUGCUUCAGCCACAGUCCUAACCUAGAACUGCAUUUAAAGCAAACUGAUAAUGCAGAAACAAACUCCUUCGUUAAGAAAUGUCUCCAGUAGCAGGGUUAGCUUAAGUUUCAGGUAGGGUCUAGAUCUGCGGUUGGAACAGUACUGGAGGGUUGUGAGGUGCUUGACUGCUCUGAUGAAAUCACUAAUAGGAAGUGCCGUCAGAAGCGAUAACUGACGAAGACUACUCCUGUCUGAUUGCAGUCAAGUCUUCACCACUUGCUGGUUCCCAGGAGUAAACUUGUUUGAACGGUGACCUAAUUGCUAUAUUCACCUAGGUUGCAAAUUCGUGAAGAAUCAGCAUCAUGUUUGGCAGCUGAGUAUUGGAGCCAGGAGCCUGCCAUGAGGUUUUGAGAACAGAGUGCUGUUUUAGAGCUGGCAGCAGCAUCUCAGCCCAAGAGAAGGUUAUAUUCCCAGAGGAUGUCAGUCCCAAGGACCAGUAGCUGCCAUCAGUUUGGAUUCUGAAAACUAACUGGCAUCAACACUGGGUGUAGAAACAUGCUUGCCUUAUGUAUCAGAGGACAUGCUCAGCAGAUCCAAGAGAUAUAUUUGGCAACUUUUUCUAGAAAAGGCACAUUGGGUAUCAUUCAUUACAUUCUUGAGUUUUUUUGGGUUUUUUUUUUUUUUUUUGAGACAGUCUUGCUGUAUUGCCCAGGCUGGAGUGUGGUGGCACAAUCACAGCUCAUUGCAUCCUCAAUCACCCAGGCCUAAGCAAUCCUCCCACCUUGUAGCUGGGACUACAGCUCACAGCACACCUGGCUAAAAUUUUUUUUUUGUUGAGACGGAUUCUCUAUGUUGCCCAGGCUGGUCUCAGGCUCCUGGGCUCAGAUGGUCCUCCUGCCUCAGCUUCCAAAGGCACAGGCCAAGUUGUAGCUUUGUCCCUUGCCAUCAUGCCCAACAAGAGGUUCUAUACCUUUUAAUGAAUUGACUUUCAUAAAUUGGUUAUGUUGGUGGGCAAAGUUCUUUAAGCUGGAAAUUGUAAAUUCCUCCUGAAAUGUUUUUUCAUGCAGUUACCAUGAACUAAUACUACAAUAAAGGA